GGGCAGGUAGCUCAGUGGUAGAGCACCUGGCACUGGUGUAGGAGGUCCUGGGUUCAAUCCCUGGCCUGUCCA
rfam:Selaginella moellendorffii unplaced genomic scaffold SELMOscaffold_40, whole genome shotgun sequence.